rnacentral:rRNA from 1 species
GUGAGGAAUAUUGCGCAAUGGAGGCAACUCUGACGCAGCCAUGCCGCGUGCAGGAAGAAGGCGCUACGCGUUGUAAACUGCUUUUAACCGGGAAGAAACCCCAGGACGUGUCCUGGGUUGACGGUACCGGAGGAAUAAGCACCGGCUAACUUCGUGCCAGCAGCCGCGGUAAUACGAAGGGUGCAAGCGUUAUCCGGAUUCAUUGGGUUUAAAGGGUGCGUAGGCGGAGCGUUAAGUCAGUGGUGAAAUCCUGCAGCUUAACUGUAGACUUGCCAUUGAUACUGGCGCUCUUGAGUGCGCUUGAAGUGGGCGGAAUGUGUCGUGUAGCGGUGAAAUGCUUAGAUAUGGCACAGAACACCAAUUGCGAAGGCAGCUCACUAAGGCGAUACUGACGCUGAGGCACGAAAGCGUGGGGAUCGAACAGGAUUAGAAACCCGUGUAGUCC